rnacentral:rRNA from 1 species
UCGUGGGGUGACUUGUCUGCUUAAUUGCGAUAACGAGCGAGACCUUACUCUGCUAAAUAGCCGGGCUAGCUUUGGCUGGUCGCCGGCUUCUUAGAGAGACUAUCAACUCAAGUUGAUGGAAGUUUGAGGCAAUAACA